CACGCAGUAAACGAUGAUUACUCGCUGUUUGCGAUAUACUGCAAGCGGCUUAGCGAAAGCGUUAAGUAAUCCACCUGGGGAGUACGUUCGCAAGAAUGAAACUCAAAGGAAUUGACGGGGGCCCGCACAAGCGGAGGAACAUGUGGUUUAAUUCGAUGAUACGCGAGGAACCUUACCCGGGCUUGAAAUGCAUCUGACGUGGGCAGAGACGUCCAUUCCCUUCGGGGCAGAUGUGUAGGUGC
rnacentral:rRNA from 1 species